CUCAUUGUUAUCCUAACGGCAUCAUGAGAUC
rnacentral:piRNA from 1 species